GGAGAAAAGGAGACCACUAAGGGAGGUGGGGGGGAGAGGAGAGACCACUAAGGGGCAGGGGAGAUCUCUAAGGAAUGGAAAUGAGAGCUCUAUAGGACAGGGGGACAGGGAGCUCUUUCACACCACGCGCACACACACACACACAGUGCAUCCCUAUACACACAGAAACACAACAUGCUUCCCUUACACACAGAGAAACACACAAUGCAACCCUUACACAUAAAGACAAUACAUCCUUUGCACAUAUCCACAGAACACACAGAAUGCAUCCCUUACACACACAUGCAAACACACACUGUUUCUCUUACACACACACACAGAAACACAAUGCAUCUCUUACACACACUCAACACACCCCUUACAGACACACACACUGCAUCCCUUACAUACACAGAAACACACUUUGCAUCCCUUAUGCAUACAAACACAGAUUCACAC